rnacentral:rRNA from 1 species
CCUUUAGGAGGGGGAUAACGAAUGGAAACAUUCGCUAAAACCCCAUAUGCCCCUGUGGUGAAAAAGAGGAGAUAAGUUAAACUGAAUCACCUCUGCCUGAAGAGAAGCUCGCGGCUGAUUAGCUAGUUGGUAGGGUAAUGGCCUACCAAGGCGACGAUCAGUAGCUGGUCUGAGAGGACGAUCAGCCACACUGGAACUGAGACACGGUCCAGACUCCUACGGGAGGCAGCAGUGAGGAAUUUUCUGCAAUGGGCGAAAGCCUGACAGAGCAAUACCGCGUGAGGGAUGAAGACUUACUGAGUUGUAAACCUCGGUGCCUUAAGGAAGAAGAUCUGACGGUACUUAAGGUGGAAAGCAUCGGCUAACUCCGUGCCAGCAGCCGCGGUAAGACGGGGGAUGCAAGUGUUAUCCGGAAUUACUGGGCGUAAAGCGUCUGCAGGUGGUUUCUUAAGUCUACUGUUAAAUCUUGAGGCUCAACCUCAAAUCUGCAGUAGAAACUAGGAGACUUGAGUAUAGUAGGGGUAGAGGGAAUUUCCAGUGGAGCGGUGAAAUGCGUAGAUAUUGGAAAGAACACCGAUGGCGAAGGCACUCUACUGGGCUAUUACUGACACUCAGAGACGAAAGCUAGGGGAGCAAAUGGGAUUAGAUAC